AUGGAAUAGGAGACACAGUAUUAGUGGCUGACAAGGGCACCCACAAUCAAGAAUAUAAAUGUGAUAUUCAUGGCCCAUCAGCUAGAAGACUGCAAAUGAUCUACAGGACCGGCUUCCAAGAUCUCCUGGAACAUGUCAUCCUGAGUCCUUUUCUUUAUCCUCAUUAUCUGGCUCAGGCAUUCUGUGGGUGUGGAGGGGGAGACCCUGAAGGCCACAAUUGCAGAAGCUGCAGAUACAACACACAGAAGUACCAUUGUCAGUGUACUCACGACAGAAAUCGAAACGUAGGAUACUGAACUCACUCCCUUUGAUCCCCCAAAGUUGUAAGCCCUACAUUCUCACUUCUCUUUCCAAUUGAUACAGCAUGGCACCAGUUAUGGCACCAGCCAUGGCAGUGGUGAUUUGAGCUCAUA